AAACCACUACGAGUGAAAACUUAAAAUUUAAAGGACUUGACGGUGUCCCACAUUCAACCUAGAGGAGCCUGUCUACUAACCGAUAACCCACGAUUAACCCUACCACCCAUGGCCACACAGUCUAUAUACCGCCGUCGCAAGCCUAUCUUGCAAAAGAAACACAAUGGGCUAAACAGUACAACACUAACACGACAGGUCGAGGUGUAACUAAUGGGGUGGGACAAGAUGGGCUACAUUACUCAACUCGAGUAAUACGAACAAAACUAUGAAACUAGCUUUUAAAGGCGGAUUUAGCAGUAAGAUGAGAAUAAAAUACUCACCUGAAUAAAACGCAAUGGGACGCGU
rnacentral:rRNA from 1 species